rnacentral:lncRNA from 1 species
UCCCAUGACAUUGAUGGGAGGGUAAGGACCCCUUACCAUCUUGGCUGCCUAAUAAUCACCCAUAGGUAAAGAAAUUUCCCCACUACCUAGAAGUUGAAUCUUUCACUUUCCUACGUUCACUUCCCAAGGCUAAACAUAUUCUAAAUUCUAAAAUUGACCGCUUCUCAAAUUUCUAUUAUUUUUCUCGUACCCUUGCUCAG